rnacentral:rRNA from 1 species
UGGGGAAUAUUGCACAAUGGAGGGAACUCUGAUGCAGCGACGCCGCGUGAACGAAGAAGGCUUUCGAGUCGUAAAGUUCUUUUAUAUGGGAAGAUAAUGACGGUACCAUAAGAAAAAGCCCCGGCUAACUACGUGCCAGCAGCCGCGGUAAUACGUAGGGGGCAAGCGUUGUCCGGAAUCACUGGGCGUAAAGGGUUCGCAGGCGGAAAUGCAAGUCAGUUGUGAAAGGCAGAGGCUCAACCUCUGUAAGCAAUUGAAACUGUAUUUCUUGAGAUGUGGAGAGGCAAGUGGAAUUCCUAGUGUAGCGGUGAAAUGCGUAGAUAUUAGGAAGAAUACCGGUGGCGAAGGCGACUUGCUGGACACAAACUGACGCUGAGGAACGAAAGCGUGGGUAGCAAACAGG